rnacentral:rRNA from 1 species
AAUCGGGGCAGGGUGAGUCGACCCCUAAGGCGAGGCCGAAAGGCGUAGUCGAUGGGAAACAGGUUAAUAUUCCUGUACUUGGUGUUACUGCGAAGGGGGGACGGAGAAGGCUAUGUUGGCCGGGCGACGGUUGUCCCGGUUUAAGCGUGUAGGCUGGUUUUCCAGGCAAAUCCGGAAAAUCAAGGCUGAGGCGUGAUGACGAGGCACUACGGUGCUGAAGCGACAAAUGCCCUGCUUCCAGGAAAAGCCUCUAAGCAUCAGGUAACAUCAAAUCGUACCCCAAACCGACACAGGUGGUCAGGUAGAGAAUACCAAGGCGCUUGAGAGAACUCGGGUGAAGGAACUAGGCAAAAUGGUGCCGUAACUUCGGGAGAAGGCACGCUGAUAUGUAGGUGAAGCGACUUGCUCGUGGAGCUGAAAUCAGUCGAAGAUACCAGCUGGCUGCAACUGUUUAUUAAAAACACAGCACUGUGCAAACACGAAAGUGGACGUAUACGGUGUGACGCCUGCCCGGUGCCGGAAGGUUAAUUGAUGGGGUUAGCGGUAACGCGAAGCUCUUGAUCGAAGCCCCGGUAAACGGCGGCCGUAACUAUAACGGUCCUAAGGUAGCGAAAUUCCUUGUCGGGUAAGUUCCGACCUGCACGAAUGGCGUAAUGAUGGCCAGGCUGUCUCCACCCGAGACUCAGUGAAAUUGAACUCGCUGUGAAGAUGCAGUGUACCCGCGGCAAGACGGAAAGACCCCGUGAACCUUUACUAUAGCUUGACACUGAACAUUGAGCCUUGAUGUGUAGGAUAGGUGGGAGGCUUUGAAGUGUGGACGCCAGUCUGCAUGGAGCCGACCUUGAAAUACCACCCUUUAAUGUUUGAUGUUCUAACGUGGGCCCCUUACCGGGGUUGCGGACAGUGUCUGGUGGGUAGUUUGACUGGGGCGGUCUCCUCCUAAAGAGUAACGGAGGAGCACGAAGGUUGGCUAAUCCUGGUCGGACAUCAGGAGGUUAGUGCAAUGGCAUAAGCCAGCUUGACUGCGAGCGUGACGGCGCGAGCAGGUGCGAAAGCAGGUCAUAGUGAUCCGGUGGUUCUGAAUGGAAGGGCCAUCGCUCAACGGAUAAAAGGUACUCCGGGGAUAACAGGCUGAUACCGCCCAAGAGUUCAUAUCGACGGCGGUGUUUGGCACCUCGAUGUCGGCUCAUCACAUCCUGGGGCUGAAGUAGGUCCCAAGGGUAUGGCUGUUCGCCAUUUAAAGUGGUACGCGAGCUGGGUUUAGAACGUCGUGAGACAGUUCGGUCCCUAUCUGCCGUGGGCGCUGGAGAACUGAGGGGGGCUGCUCCUAGUACGAGAGGACCGGAGUGGACGCAUCACUGGUGUUCGGGUUGUCAUGCCAAUGGCACUGCCCGGUAGCUAAAUGCGGAAGAGAUAAGUGCUGAAAGCAUCUAAGCACGAAACUUGCCCCGAGAUGAGUUCUCCCUGACUCCUUGAGAGUCCUGAAGGAACGUUGAAGACGACGACGUUGAUAGGCCGGGUGUGUAAGCGCAGCGAUGCGUUGAGCUAACCGGUACUAAUGAACCGUGAGGCUUAACCUUACAACGCCGAAG